rnacentral:lncRNA from 10 species
CCUGCAUUUAGCCCUCCGGUUCUUGAACCAAACCUGGGGGAUAAGAGCGGAGAUGGGGGUGGGUAAGUGGGGAAGAGGCCCAGGAGAGCCGCAGGGUGCCCGGGGAUGAGGACACUUAUUGGUGAGAGGUGCUGGGUUCACAUCUGUCUACUUUGCAUCCAGCUGUGGGGCGUCUAUUCACCCAUCCAUCCAUCUAUCCAUCCAAUCAUACCUGCAUGUGUGCAUGAACACAUGCAUACAUCAUACCCAUGUGCAUUCAUCCCAUCCGUCUAAUGCAAACAUGCACACGUACAAUUAUACAUGCAUACACCAUACGCACAUACAUCAUGCCUGCAUUUACCCAUCGAUAUGAUCAUACAUACAUCAUACACAUAUUCAUCCACCCAUCUAAUACAAACAUACAAUUAUAGGCACAUACAUUGUACACACAUACAGCAUACAUAGCUACACACUAAUCUAUCUAAUCAUAUGUGCAUACAAUCACACAAACAUACAUAUUUCAUUUAUCCUUCCAAUCAUACACACGUGUGUAUGCACAUAUAUGUAACAUCAUACCUACAGCAUACAAACAUACACGCAUACAAUUAUACAUACAUACACCAUACACACAUACAUUAUGUAGACAUCCAUCUGAUCAUAUAUACAUACCUCACACAUAUAUAUGUCAUACACACAUUCACCAGUCCAUCUGAUCAUACAUACAUCAUACAUAGACUUAUCCAUCUGAUGAUACAUACAAUUGUACACACAUACAUCAUACAUAGAUUCAUCCAUCUUAUACAUAUAAUUAUAUAAACAUAGGUCAUACACACAUACAUCAUACAUGCAUUAAUGGAUCUAUCUAAUCAUACAUACAUCAUAUGC